AAAAAGGACUUCUGUUGUGAGUGGCACAUGUAGGGCAGCUCCAUUGCUCUUCUUGCAGAAUUGACAUCAAGAGAUUUCAGAAGCAUAAUUUUUUGGUACCUGUGCAACUAGUGAUUGUUGGUCCCAGUGCCCCC